GGGUGGAUACUUAGGGAUGUGGGUGGAUACUUAGGGAUGUGGGUGGAUACUUAGAGAUGUGGGUGGAUACUUAGAGAUGUGGGUGGAAAAAAGGGCCAGGAGGCAGCACAAAGGACAGUGGGGUAUUUACCAUUUAUUAGGGAGUAGAGAGAUGUCAAAUGAAGAAAAGGAAGAAAGUGUACAGACAGGAUAUACAGACUCUGGAAGGGGGCAGGCAAUUUCCCUAUGAAAUAAUACACUGUCCUUUUUUUUUUUUUUUUGGUUUUUUGAGACAGGGUUUCUCUGUGUAGUUUUGGUUCCUGUCCUGGAUCUCGCUCUGUAGACCAGGCUGGCCUCGAACUCACAGAGAUCCGCCUGGCUCUGCCUCUCUAGGGCUGGGAUUAAUGGUGUCUGCCACCACUGCCCAGCUACGCUGUCCUUUUAAGGAAAGUCAUUCCCUAAGCUCCACACAGUCAGCAUGGACAGGAUAAUGGUGCCAGACAUCAUGCUGUCCAGGCCAGGCCUGCUUCCUGCUUCUGGACAGUGAGCAGGACACACUCCACAGCAUACACAGAGGAAGGUGGAGAAGACUAGGGGGCAGAGGUUAACUGGAGAGAGCAGGUUCGCAGAGACUCACCCUAUAAGGGGAUAGCCUGUUCCCUCUCGUCCAUUCCUUGAUCACUCCACGUCUUGGCUACCAUGAAGGCAGUGCCUUUGCUGUGCUACAUGUUGUCUGGUCUUAAUUCAAACCCGGAGUGAAGGGACCAAGCCACCAAGCAUGAAAACCUUUGACCCCAUAGGGCUUCAAAAUAAUUUUUCAAAAUAAAUCUUCCACUCUGUU